UAGGGAAUCUUCGGCAAUGGACGAAAGUCUGACCGAGCAACGCCGCGUGAGUGAAGAAGGUUUUCGGAUCGUAAAACUCUGUUGUUAGAGAAGAACAAGGACGUUAGUAACUGAACGUCCCCUGACGGUAUCUAACCAGAAAGCCACGGCUAACUACGUGCCAGCAGCCGCGGUAAUACGUUGGUGGCAAGCGUUGUCCGGUUUUAUUGGGCGUAAAGCGAGCGCAGGCGGUUUCUUAAGUCUGAUGUGAAAGCCCCCGGCUCAACCGGGGAGGGUCAUUGGAAACUGGGAGACUUGAGUGCAGAAGAGGAGAGUGGAAUUCCAUGUGUAGCGGUGAAAUGCGUAGAUAUAUGGAGGAACACCAGUGGCGAAGGCGGCUCUCUGGUCUGUAACUGACGAUGAGGCUCGAAAGCGUGGGGAGCAAACAGG
rnacentral:rRNA from 1 species